AUAAAAAUUUAAUCAGUUAAUGCUAAACUGAAAGAUAGAGGAAAAAGUCCUGGUUUAAUGUUUCUAUAUUUAAUUUAAUUAUAGACCUGAAAAGAAAACAGUAAAUACUACCAAUACGAGGAUUUAGUAGCAGUAUUUUAACACAAGAACCGUGAGAAUUCUUGUUUGACCGUGAUAAGCGGGUCGGACUGCGAUAGUUAAUGAUGAAGAUAAGUGUUCAACGAAUCGACCAUUUUUAUGUGUUCCAUAUCCGCUGGACAAUGAAUGUUUUAGAUGCAACGGGUCGACCAGGAUCUUUUUCGAUAGGAUACAUUGCCUAGCUGGAAUGCUAUUCACGUUCGGAACGUAUCACCUAGUCUCUGCCACGACGUCCACAAAUUUUUAAUUUUGGAACUCGAAAAUUUAAGACAUUUUAAAACAGAAUACGAGACUGAUAUUUCCGAAAUUAUUUAAUGAAUAUGUUUAUAAAAUCUAUUCGUUUAAAUUAAAGCGCAGAUAUGAAUCAUUGUCGGCGUGGCUGCUGAUGCAAACGAUGUAUUACAAAGCCUGGAACGAGUAUGCUGGUUUAUGGCUUAUGCGCCGCUCACAAUGUGCUAUAUGGAUAAAUAAUGAAGUAUUCUUGCGAAACAGACGAACCAGGACAGGACGCACCCUUUUUCAAUGGGCUGUCCACCAGAUGUGUGCACAUCCAUGUAAACUGCACUUGGUUUUUCCCAUUCUUCCCUUUUCUACAGAAAUUGUAAAACGUUUGUUUUGAAAAUGUUUAUUGGGAAGUUAAGCAUACCAAAUGGAUGAAGGGAUACAUUAGUUCAGUAAAUAUGUAACUGAAGAUUUGUUUAUGAAACAUAGUGCAAACAUUCAACUGUGUAAUGGAAAUGGACUAACUCUAUCCGUCCAGGUGCAGUUAACAGAGUCCCCAGAGAUCAAUAUGAUAGUAUUUCAGGAUAGUCACUAUUACUAAUAAAUAUAAGCACUGAAGUAUUGCCUGUUUGAAGACGAGAUUUCCCUAAGUCGAACCGGUGUUUUCACGAAGAAUGAUGGGUUCGAAGAUUGAAGGUUCAGUGGGUUAAGCUAGCAGAACGCUCGUGAGUUCCACUCAACGUAUAAUCCCGAUGGAGGCGUGCCUUUAAACAGAGGACUUCCUGUAUUCUCAACGCGUCCCGUACGAUUCGAGCCGUGAAUGUCGAUAAACGAUGACCGAGUCUAUCAUCAUGCACAAUCCGCAAAUUAAGCAAAUAACAAUGGUCGAGUUAUACACGAUACAAUGUAUGGAAUGCGAUUAAAUUCUUGCAAAGCUGUCCAUCGUUUAGCAGAAAAUAGCAGAAGAACGCGGUCUUAUGGCUUUUCUCUGAAAGUAUUUGACACCCAUUUUCCGUGCCAAAUAUGCCAAGUUCAGCACUACAACGAUGGUAUCGAUUAUUUGUCGAUAACAGCUCUACUCUAGCGACGACACUUGGAUCACUGUAAACUCAAUAAGCCUGAGGAUCCAAAUCAGGGAGUGAAGGUACGCAAUGUACGUACUCUUGUUAGAUUGCAAUGGUCAACAAUGCAAAAGAGAAUAAGUAUGAACGCGUGAAGCAGUUGCAGGGAUAGAAGUAACUGGGCCACAGUGUA
rnacentral:lncRNA from 1 species